rnacentral:rRNA from 1 species
AGGUAGUUGGUGGGGUAAAGGCUCACCAAGCCUACGACGGGUAGCCGGCGUGAGAGCGUGGCCGGCCACACCGGGACUGAGACACGGCCCGGACUCCUACGGGAGGCAGCAGUGGGGAAUUUUGGACAAUGGGGGAAACCCUGAUCCAGCGACGCCGCGUGCGGGAAGAAGUCCUUCGGGACGUAAACCGCUGUUGUAGGGGAAGAAUAAGGGGAGGUUGACUCUCCGAUGACGGUACCCUACCAGAAAGCCCCGGCUAACUACGUGCCAGCAGCCGCGGUAACACGUAGGGGGCUAGCGUUACCCGGAAUUACUGGGCGUAAAGGGGGCGUAGGCGGCCCGGCAAGUCGAGUGUGAAAUCCAGCGGCUCAACCGCUGGGCUGCGCUUGAAACUGCCGGGCUUGAGUGCAGCAGAGGGAGACGGAAUUGCCGGUGUAGGGGUGAAAUCCGUAGAUAUCGGCAAGAACGCCCGUGGGGAAGCCCGGUCUCCUGGGCUGUGACUGACGCUGAGGCCCGAAAGCUGGGGGAGCGAACCAGGAUUAGAUACCCGGGUAGUCCCAGCCGUAAACGAUGCUCACUAGGUGUGGGGGAGUGAAAUCCUCCGUGCUGAAGCCAACGCGAUAAGUGAGCCGCCUGGGGAGUACGCCCGCAAGGGUGAAACUCAAAGGAAUUGACGGGGGCCCGCACAAGCGGUGGAGCGCGUGGUUUAAUUGGAUGCUGAGCCAAGAACCUUACCAGGGCUUGACAUGUCGGUGGUACCGACCCGAAAGGGGAGGGACUCAUCCUUAUAGGAUGGGAGCCGACACAAGUGGUGCACGGCCGUCGUCAGCUCGUGCCGUGAGGUGUUGGGUUAAGUCCCGCAACGAGCGCAACCCCUGCCCUUAGUUGCCAGCGGUGUAAGCCGGGCACUCUAAGGGGACUGCCGCCGACGAGGCGGAGGAAGGAGGGGAUGACGUCAGGUAAUCGUGCCCCUUAUGCCCUGGGCGACACACGCGCUACAAUGGGGAGGACAAAGGGAGGCGACCCUGCGAAGGGGAGCGGAUCCCAAAAACCUCCUCUCAGUUCGGAUCGCAGGCUGCAACUCGCCUGCGUGAAGGCGGAAUCGCUAGUAAUCGCGGAUCAGCCAUGCCGCGGUGAAUACGUUCCCGGGCCUUGUACACACCGCCCGUCA